rnacentral:rRNA from 1 species
GUCUUUUUGAUUAUAAUUUAAAGUCUAACCUGCCCAAUGAAAAUUAAAUGGCCGCGGUAUUUUGACCGUGCAAAGGUAGCAUAAUCAUUAGUUUUUUAAUUAAAAGCUGGAAUGAAUGGUUGGACGAGAAAAUUACUGUCUCAAUUUAAUUUAAUUAGAAUUUUAUUUUUAAGUUAAAAAGCUUAAAUAAAUUUAAAAGACGAGAAGACCCUAUAGAGUUUAAUAUUAUAUAAAAUUUUAAUUUUUAUAAAUUCUUUAAUUUUUUAUAAUAUUUUAUUGGGGUGAUAAAUAAAUUUAUAAAACUUUAUUUUAUUUUUAACAUAAAUUAAUGAUUUAUUGAUCCAUUAUUAAUGAUUAUAAGAUUAAAUUACCUUAGGGAUAACAGCGUAAUUUUUUUAGAGAGUUCAAAUCGAAAAAAAAGAUUGCGACCUCGAUGUUGGAUUAAAGUAAAUUUUUGGUGUAGAAGCUAAAAUAUUAAGUCUGUUCGACUUUUAAAACUUUACAUGAUCUGAGUUUAAACCGGCGUGAGCCAGGUUGGUUUCUAUCUUUAAAUAAAUAAAAUAUUUUAGUACGAAAGGACCAAAUAUUUAUAAUAAUUAUUUUUUUUUGAAUAU